rnacentral:lncRNA from 1 species
GGUUUCUGUGAUGGGUUGGGGCCAUGAGAUCUGUGGGACCUUGGGAUGUGUUUGGGCCAUGGGAUGUCCUGUUUUUUUUGGAUGUGUCGAUCCUGAUUGAUCGACGUGCAAAACUCUUCCCUGAUCCAUAACUUUCCAUUGGUUUAACUCCUUCUUGGAACCAAACAGAGACAAAAGAUGCAGAGUUGGAGAGAAAAGAUGAAGAGUUGGAGAGAAAAGAUGCAGAGUUGGAGAAAAAAGAUGCAGAGUUGGGUAAGUCUCCUUCCCAUAACUGAGGGAAGUCAGGGUCUCCCCAUGGCUAUAGCAGUGGGAUGAGCAGCUGUCACCUCUGAAAAUGAAUUUCCUUUGCUU